rnacentral:rRNA from 1 species
GAUGAACGCUGGCGGCGUGCCUAACACAUGCAAGUCGAGCGAAGCGCUUAAAUUAGAUUUCUUCGGAAUGACGAUUUUUGUGACUGAGCGGCGGACGGGUGAGUAACGCGUGGGUAACCUGCCUCAUACAGGGGGAUAACAGUUAGAAAUGACUGCUAAUACCGCAUAAGACCCCAGCUUCGCAUGAAGCGGUGGGAAAAACUCCGGUGGUAUGAGAUGGACCCGCGUCUGAUUAGCUAGUUGGUAAGGUAACGGCUUACGCAGGCGACGAUCAGUAGCCGAGCUGAGAGGGGGACCGGCCAACUUGGGACUGAGACACGGCCCAGACUCCUACGGGAGGGAGCAGUGGGGAAUAUUGCACAAUGGGGGAAAGCCUGAUGCAGCGACGCGGCGUGAAGGAUGAAGUAUUUCGGUAUGUAAACUUCUAUCAGCAGGGAAGAAAGUGACGGUACCUGACGAAGAAGCCCCGGCUAACUACGUG